CCCAAACGCCGAUCACGACCCUUAUUCCUCUCUUCCCCGACGCGACCUCCCUUCUUCCUUCUCCGCUCUCUCUCUCUCGCGGACGAAUCAGAGGCGACAGGAGCGAAGCUACUCCUUUGGCGAUCAUGCUCGUUCGCCGGAGCUUGGUGGAGCAUGGCAGAGUCUAGAUCUCCUUCAGCCGAGGAAUUUCUGUCCGGGAGUUUCAGCGAUCGAUCGCCGACGAUACAGCGGCUAGGGCACGGUGAGGUGUCGGAUCUCACUUUGUCUCCAACCGGUAGGCCUUCCCUCUCCUCUCCUCGCACUACUCACAGUGUGAUCCAUGUCUUUAUUGGCCGGAUUGGAUCGAGGGAUGCCACCGAGCAGCGACCUUGGAGGUCACGGGGUUGAUCCAGUGAGAUAGGUUCUAUGAAGGUGAUCUUGGACCUUAUCUUCCUUGUUGCUGAUUAAGGUCACGAUUGAGUGAGGGAAGAUUUCGGCAAAGUGAGUGCUGUGGAUCAACAAGUGCGGCUGUGAGGUUCUGAUCCGUUCUGUUCUGUUCUGUUCUGUGGAAUUGUGAUCGUGAGGAAUUUCCUUGCCAACAGCACUCCAACCAGCAAUAGUAUCGGCUGGGAUUCGAGGACUUUGAUUCGAGACAGGUGUCUCGAUGUUGGAUUUGGCGUGAUACUGUACCUU